CUCUUAUCAAGAGAGGUGGAGGGAUGUGCCCUAUGAAGCCCGGCAACCGUCACUGCCAGUUAUGCGGUGAAAUGGUGCCAAUUCACACAAAGCGUUAGCUUUGAGAGAUGAGAG
rnacentral:ncRNA from 2 species